GUGCCAGCCGCCGCGGUAAUACAGAGGUCCCAAGCGUUGUUCGGAUUUACUGGGCGUAAAGGGUGCGUAGGUGGCGGGGAAAGUUUGAUGUGAAAUCUCCGAGCUUAACUCGGAAACUGCAUUGAAUACUACUCUGCUUGAGGGUUGGAGGGGGGACUGGAAUUCUCGGUGUAGCGGUGAAAUGCGUAGAUAUCGAGAGGAACACCAGUGGCGUAGGCGAGUCCCUGGACAACUCCUGACACUGAGGCACGAAAGCUAGGGUAGCAAACAGGAUUAGAUACCCCGGUAGUCC
rnacentral:rRNA from 1 species